GAACCGGCCGCAGCAAAUCGCACACCCUCUCUGGGUGCCAGAGUGACUAGCGCAGGACGCGUAAGAGAGGAGCGAGACCCCGGACCAGCCCGCACCGCGGAGGACCGGAGAGGGCGAUUCGUGGUGUUUACUAUAAUAAUAUGAUGGUGAAGAAUUUGGCCCACAAGAAACACUUAUUCAAGCCUACAAUUUUCCCUGGGCAAGGGAAGGUCACC
rnacentral:lncRNA from 1 species